GGUGGAUGGUAGCUGCUAGCUGCUGCUAGCUGCUGCUGGAGCCAGGUGGAUGGUGGCUGCUGCUCAAGCCUGGGUCUUGUGGCUGGUGGCUGCUGCUCAAGCCUGGGUCUUGUGGCUGGUAGCUGCUGCUCAAGCCUGGGCCUGGUGGAUGGUAGCUGCCGCUAGCUGCUGCUAGCUGCUGCUGGAGCCAGGUGGAUGGUGGCUGCUGCUCAAGCCUGGGUCUGGUGGAUGGUGGCUGCUGCUUGCUGCUGCUGGAGCCAGGUGGAUGUUAGCGCUGCUCUGCUGCU
ensembl:lncRNA